ensembl:lncRNA
UGAAAACACACAGAACUCUCUUCUUUAUUUGACACCAGAAAUAUUGGGUAUAAUGACCUUCAUGAAGAUCAUGUCACAAGCCACACUGGAAAAGCACAAGGUAUUGUCACAUGCUUGAGAGCAACGUCCUAUAGUGGUAGCAGAAGAAGGGUGUGCCCUCCCUUGAAUAUUUAUAUCUUUGACCAAUACAACACAUGGGGUUUCACAAGAGGAUGUUCUAUGAAGAACCGAGGUAAAAAUGUGAGAGAUGCAAUAUAUGUCAUUUCUAGCCAGGCCUACUUGCACUGACAGCAGGCUAGGUCCUUACAUACAAAGUGUUCUUGUGAAAGCAUUUCCUAUUUUUCUUCUGGUUCCUCUGGAGGACUAUUUAGAGAAAAUUCAACAAGUGGAUUUUAAUAUAUUCCACCCAUCUUUACAGGAGAAGAAUACAUUGCUUCCAUUAUCUUUGUAUGUUCAGUCAUAGAAAAAAAGAUAUUAAAAUAGUUUCAUGGUGGGGCCGGCUUGGUGGCAUAAUGGUUAAUUUUGCACUCUCUGUUUUGGUAGCCUGGGGUUCACAGGUUCAAAUCCUGGGCACAGACCUACUCACUGCUCAUCAAGCCAUGCUGUGGCGGUGACCCAUAUAGAAAAUAGAGGAAGAUUGGCACAGAUGUUAGGUCAGUGACAAUCUUCCUCAAGCAAAAAGAGGAAGAUUGGAAAUGGAUGCUGGCUCAGGGCCAAUCUUCAUCACCCAAAAAAAAUAAAAAGGAAGAAGAAGUUUCAUGGCACUGAAGGAAAAAGCAAUUUGAUUAGAAGAAAACAUAAACAUCUUUGUGACAUUGAAGUAGGCCAAGAGUAUUUUUUAACAGGACUUCUGUUCACCAGAAGAUACCAUUGAGAGAGUAAAAAGACAAUCCAUGGAGUAGGGUAAGAUCUUUGCAAUACAUAUAUCUAACAAAGGACCUGUAGCAAGAAUAUAUAAAGAACUCUCACAAACCAAUAGGAAAGAGAGACAACCUAAUAUAAAAAUGAGCAAAGUCCUUAACUGACACUUUGCAAGACAUCAAAAAGGCCAAUAAACAUAUAAAAAUGUGCUCAGCUUCAUUAGUCAUCAGGGAAAUACCAAUUAGAACCAUAAUGCAAAAUCACUACACAUCACCAGAAUGGUUCCAAUGAAAAGUAUUGCCAAGUAUGUGGAGCCACCGAAACCUCAGACACUUCUGUUGGGAGUGUAAAGUGGUAUAAUCACUUUGAAAGACUGCUUGGCAGUAUCUGCUGGAGGUGAACAAACACAUGCCCUUUUUACUCUAGGUAGGUGUGCCACAGAGAAGUGUCCAUCUGUCCACCAGAAGACGUGCAUUACAGUGCUCACAGCAGCACUCUUCAUUAUAGCCCCAAAUUGGAAGCUACCCAACUGCCCAUCAACAGAAUAGGAAAUCAUGGCACAUUCUCACAGUGAAAGACCAUACAGCUAGAUGAGUAAUCUACAGCAUGCAAGCAAUAUGAACGAGUCUCGUAAACAUAAAGCUGAGCAAAAGAAGACAGACACAAAAGAGUACAUACGUGUGAUUCCGUUCAUAUGCAGUACAAAACAGGCAAAACUAAUCUG